rnacentral:rRNA from 1 species
GACGAACGCUGGCGGCGUGCUUAACACAUGCAAGUCGAGCGGUAAGGCCCUUUCGGGGGUACGACGAGCGGCGAACGGGUGAGUAACACGUGGGUGACCUGUCCUCAGCUCUGGGAGUAAGCCCGGGAAACUGGGUCUAAUACCGGAUAUGACUUCAUGACGCAUGUUGUGGAGUGGAAAGCCUUGUGCGGCUGAGGAUGGGCCCGCGGCCUAUCAGCUUGUUGGUGGGGUGAUGGCCUACCAAGGCGACGACGGGUAGCCGGCCUGAGAGGGCGGACCGGCCACACUGGGACUGAGAUACGGCCCAGACUCCUACGGGAGGGCAGCAGUGGGGAAUCUUGCGCAAUGGGCGAAAGCCUGACGCAGCGACGCCGCGUGAGGGAUGACGG